rnacentral:lncRNA from 1 species
UCUUUCUUUUUUCUUUUUUUUUAAUAUGUCCUUACUUCUCUCUCUCUCUUCAUUUUUUCUCUUUUUCUUUUCUUUUUCUUUUUCCUUUUCAUCUUUUUCUUCUUUCACAUUUUUUGUUAUUUUUCUUUUCUUCCCUCCUCUCUUCUUCCCAACUCUAGUCGUCACAUUUUCCUCUCUCGUUGACAAAUCUACAAAACCAAAAAAGCAUCAAAAUUAAAGAGCGAAGAAAGAUAAAGAAAAAGAGUGAGAAGGAUCCUUCAAGUUUGGCCAAUGAGUAAUUGGAGAGAUUUGGAAUAUUCGUUAGAGAUUCCGAACGGUUGAGGCCUUCAUCGGGACAAUGAAGCAACAAUCUAAGGACAAAUAUGAGAAAUCAAGUUGUAAUACUGAAAGAUUUAGGCUUUAAUUUCCUAAAACCUUGAGAAAGAAUUCCCAAAAUCAAACCAAUAAAAAGAAGGGAGGGAGGGAGGGAGAACAAAUUCCAGUGUCUUUUUUUGACCAAUCAAAGAAGGUUAGUAGCGGUGGAGGAACGCGCGACAACUAGGCUACAAGGAAGAAGUGUUGGGGAAGCAUGUAAGGUGUGCAUGAUAGAAUUUUAAAAUUUGUAAUACAUCCAGGAUCAACUAAGAUAGUUAGAAGACAUAGUUAGAACAAUAAAUUGUUAAUAAUCUAGUUUUUAGAUGUAUUUUGAUUCAUUUUCGCAAGUUGAAGAAGUUGUUUUGCAAUUAAUUGUGAUUUGCUCGGAGGAAAUUGCACUCUUUUACGAAAACAUCCCUAUUUGGUUCGGUUCGAGUUAAGCUUAAGCAUGAUAUUAACACACUUAUGUUUGCCUAAACCCGACUUAACUCGAAAUAUAAGCCUAAAUUUUGCCCAAGC